rnacentral:rRNA from 1 species
UACGAAGGGGGCGAGCGUUGUUCGGAUUUACUGGGCGUAAAGGGCGCGUAGGCGGCGGCCCAAGUCGAGUGUGAAAGCCCCGGGCUCAACCUGGGAGGUGCGCUCGAGACUGGCCCGCUAGAGUUCGGGAGAGGAGCGUGGAAUUCCCAGUGUAGAGGUGAAAUUCGUAGAUAUUGGGAAGAACACCGGUGGCGAAGGCGGCGCUCUGGACCGAGACUGACGCUGAGACGCGAAAGCGUGGGGAGCAAACAGG